rnacentral:tRNA from 1 species
CAUUAAGUGACUGAAAGUAAGUGAUGGUCUCUUAAACCAAAAAAUAGUAACUAACAAUUACUCUUAAUGG